rnacentral:snRNA from 1 species
UCUCUUGUGCUCGGGCGCGUGGUCGUACCAGUGAGGUUUUUACCGAGGUCGAUCUAUUUUGCUGAUUGCAAAUUAUACAUCCGAACCCGUCUGAUUGCUUCGGCUUUCAGCAAUUUUUGAAACCCUCCUCUAUCCUGAUG